GGCGAUCUUAUCUGGUUGAAACACCGAUUCCUGUGCGAUCACUGAAGUUAAACAACGUCUAGCCUGGUCAGUACCUCGGUGGAUGACGUUUGCGAAAAUCAGGUGCUGUAUG